GUGCCAAUACCAUGCUGUUUUUGUUACUAUUGCUCUGUAGUAUAGUUUGGUAUAGUGAUGCCACCUGCUUCAUUCUUCUUGCUAAGGAUUGCUUUAGCUAUUCUGGGUCUCUUAUUUUUCCAGAUGAUUUUCAUCACUGCUUUUUAUAUUUCUAUGAGGAAUGUCAUUGGGAUUUUGAUUGGAAUUGCAUUAAGUCUGUAUAGUGCUUUUGGUAGUAAGGUCAUUUUAGAUCAUACUACCCAUUAUUAGCAGAUUAAGUUGGCAAAGCGCUGAAAAGAAAAUAGUUCAGAUGCAUGUGGGUGAACAUUUGUGUCUUAUUUUGAAGCUAUUUGCUAAUUGAUAUUUACCUAGUGAAGAUUAUGUUUCUUAUUACUGGCCCGCAAAAUAAUUAUAAAGUACAUGGUUAUGAUGCUGAUAACAAAGGUGACUCUAGAAUAAAAAAAAAUUAAAUUAUUUUAUCAACUUUUAUUCAUGCUAAUGCUCUGUUCAGAAGUACAGGGAACUGUUUGUCCAGAUUCCUGAAUUUUCACCAGAAUUACAUUAUCUUCAAGAGGUAGGUCUUUUCUGUGAAUGUGUUUAAAAACCAGGUUAGUCUGUUUUAAACUCUGAUUUCACAACUUUGUGGAUGCAUACGUUGUCAAGGCCAUUGCUGAAAAAGUGGCAAGAGUUGCCUAAGUUUCUCUACUUAGCAUAGAAUAAAUAUAAAAAUAGCUUAGAUAAGAUCCUCAGCCAAAUUAGAAUUGCUGCCAUUUUCUGGCACUUACUGUAAGUUCACAGUUUCUUAACAAUAUCCAUAACCUUUUGAAACUUCAUUGUUAUGUCUACUGUUUUUUCUCCAAACCUAUUAGGCAAUUUUUUUCCCCUUGGGCCCUAUGUUUUGCUAUAAAAAAGAAUUAGUGCCUCCCUAGAGAUAGCAAAGCAUGUGGCAGUGAAUAAAAUGUGCAUAGAGAUGCAGAUGCAGUAACUGAAUG
rnacentral:lncRNA from 1 species